CAGCUAUCUGAAAGCACAACAUAAAAUUCGAUUAGGCGAGACAGAGCAGAGGGGUCAGCCAUGGGGGGUUGUCAACUUUCACCACUUUCCUGACCACCUCUCCAGACUGGAACGCUACAAAACGUUUGGAAUCUGCCUAUGCGCCAGCAAUCAAGCAUUCAGCAGUUUGGAGUGAGAAAGCAGCGAGGAUCAGAUUCUCUCACAGUACGUCCAUGUAACCCACCCCGACAAUGAUGGCUUGUAAUAAGGGCAUUGGGCUUUGCUGCCACAUUAUUUGAACAAGUGGAAGCUCAGCCUGGUGUGUAAUUAAUCCAGGGCUGAAUAAUGGAUUUCAGUUCCCAUGCCUGUAAGAGGAGACUGACCUGAACCAGCAAAACCUGUCACACCACCAAGAGUUCAAAACUCGAUUACUUUCUCAUGGAAGAUCGAGGCCUACUGGACAAAUAUCACACGGUCCAGUAUUUGACUAUUAUAUUUCUGCUAGUGUAUAUCUGAAACAUUCCUUGCGCAAGUUCAUCAGCCAAAUGGCACCACAGUAAUAAACUGUUUAUAUUAAAAAAUAGACUUCUUUCUCAGUGGUGCCAUUUAGGAAAGAUGGAAGACUACACCUGACUCUCUCUUAAAAGCACUAUAGUAAAGCAGAAUAUUCUUAAAAUUA